rnacentral:rRNA from 1 species
GCCCGCUACAGAAACUACAAAGGAAUUGACGGGGCCCGCACAAGCGGUGGAGUAUGUGGUUUAAUUCGAUGCAACGCGAAGAACCUUACCUGGUCUUGACAUCCCGGAGACCCUUAGGAAACUAGGGGGUGCUUCCAUCUGGAAGAAUCUGGAGACAGGUGCUGCAUGGCUGUCGUCAGCUCGUGUCGUGAGAUGUUGGGUUAAGUCCCGCAACGAGCGCAACCCUUGCCUUUAGUUGCCAGCAGUUCGGCUGGGCACUCUAAAGGGACUGCCGGUGUUAAACCGGAGGAAGGUGGGGAUGACGUCAAGUCCUCAUGGCCUUUAUGACCAGGGCUACACACGUACUACAAUGGCCGAUACAAAGGGCAGCGACACUGCGAGGUGAAGCCAAUCCCGUAAAAUCGGUCUCAGUCCGGAUUGGAGUCUGCAACUCGACUCCAUGAAGUUGGAAUCGCUAGUAAUCGUGGAUCAGCAUGCCACGGUGAAUACGUUCCCGGGCCUU